rnacentral:rRNA from 1 species
GACGAACGCUGGCGGCGUGCUUAACACAUGCAAGUCGAGCGGAAAGGCCUCUUCGGGGGUACUCGAGGGGCGAACGGGUGAGUAACACGUGAGUAAUCUGCCCUUCACUAUAGGAUAGCCACCGGAAACGGUGAUUAAUACCGGAUACGACACGUCCAGGCAUCUGGUGCGUGUGGAAACUUUUUGGGUGGGGGAUGUGCUCGCGGCCUAUCAGCGUGUUGGUGGGGGAAUGGCCUACCAAGGCUUCGACGGUGAGCAGGCCUGGGAGGGGGACCGGCCACACUGGGACUGAGACACGGCCCGGACCCCUACGGGAGGCAGCAGUGGGGAAGAUUGGAGAAUGGUCGGAAGCCUGAUCCGGCAACGCCGCGUGAGGGAUGACGGCCUUCGGGUUGUAAACCUCUUUCAGCACCGACGACGCGAUCCUUUGGGGGAGUGACGGUAGGUGCAGAAGAAGGACCGGCCAACUACGUGCCAGCAGCCGCCGCAGUAA